UACGUAGGGGCAAGCGUUAUCCGGAUUCAUUGGGCGUAAAGGGUGCGUAGGCGGCCCUAUAGGUCAGAGGUCAAAGGCUACGGCUCAACCGUAGUAAGCCUUUGAAACUGUAGGGCUUGAGUGCAGGAGAGGAGAGUGGAAUUCCUAGUGUAGCGGUGAAAUGCGUAGAUAUUAGGAGGAACACCAGUGGCGAAGGCGACUCUCUGGACUGCAACUGACGCUGAGGCACGAAAGCGUGGGGAGCGAACAGGAUUAGAUACCCUGGUA
rnacentral:rRNA from 1 species